rnacentral:lncRNA from 1 species
UUAAAGUCUUUCUACUUAGGGAGUUGACACUCUACAGUUGAAGGAGGACAGACACACCAAACCUAGAUGGGGAUAAAGUACCACCAUAACAGAGGAUAAAAAUCACAAUAAUGAAUCUUGAAGUGCAAUAAUGAAGUUAUAUGAUUGUAUAUAUGUAUAUAUGAUGAUUAUGCUGAUAAGACGAUCAUAAAGGAUACAAAGAUGUCACGAAUUUGAAUCAUUGAUACAAUUCUUGGCCAAUCCACCAAAGAGGGAUAUUCCUACUGGAGAAUAGAGAUCAACAUCCCAAAUAUUCAACCCUAGCUGGGGAAGAAAG